UACGUAGGGCGCAAGCGUUGUCCGGAAUUAUUGGGCGUAAAGAGCUCGUAGGCGGCUUGUCACGUCGGUUGUGAAAGCCCGGGGCUUAACCCCGGGUCUGCAGUCGAUACGGGCAGGCGUAGAGUUCGGUAGGGGGAGACUGGAAUUCCUGGUGUAGCGGUGAAAUGCGCAGAUAUCAGGAGGAACACCGGUGGCGAAGGCGGGUCUCUGGGCCGAUACUGACGCUGAGGAGCGAAAGCGUGGGGAGCGAACAGG
rnacentral:rRNA from 1 species